CUCUACAGAUUUUUUGUGUCAUUCAUGCACUUCAAGUAACUUUGUAUUUUGUUCCCACCCAUGUUUUUACCUGAGGCUUUGUUUACCUUGCUGAGUUCUGAUUUCGUUCCAGAGUUUCUCUGAGAAUCUGGAUUCUCAACUACUGAGUUAAGGAUCUAUCUUCUUGUGAAUUUCUUUCACUACCGUCUGUACCUUUCGACACGGACCAAGCUGGCGGCUUCCCGUUUCCUCCAACUCCAGGACCAGGUAUCGGCGUACCCUGUUCCUUCCUCCAUCUAAAAUACCGGCACCUGAGCUCCAUUUGGCUGGCACCAAGAUCACAACAAAGAAGACAACUAAACAAUCUUCCUUCGCAAGUUAAGACUCUGAAUCUUUCUACCCCUGAUGGUUCAAGCUACAACAAUUUAUUGGUGUUUCCAGUCCUCAUCUCAGAUUACUUUGCUGACGAUAAAAUCCGGAAAACAUUCUUGAGUGUUCUCUGUAUGUGGGUCAGAUCUAUACCGAAAAUGACAGUAUCUGAAGCUCAGUCAGAUAGGAUUGAGAGCAUCAGUGAGCAUCUUGCCUUGCCACAGAUUCUCGGUUAGAUGUCAGUCUGAACUUUGACUGGGCCAUUCUAACAAAUGAAUUUGUCGGACAAUGCUUUGAUCUAAACCAUUUUGUAGCUCUAUCUGAAUGUUUAGGGUCAUUGUCAUGCUGGAAGGUGAACCUCCUCCACACUGUCAAGCAUGACGGACAAUGCUGUUUUACUGUGGGUACGGUGAGUUUACAUGCAAUGUUAGGUUGCAGCUAAACAUAACGUUUAUAAUGGCAUCCAUGGGAGAGUUCCAAAGCCAAACCAAACAUAAGUUGAACAUUAUGUGGAAAUACUGAAGCAAAUCUUAAGACAAAUGAACAAUGACCCCAAGCAUACAGUGAAAUUGGUUACAAAGUGGCUUCUGGAUAAUAGUCAGUGUUUGGGAAUGAGGCCCUGAUCAUUGUGUGCAGAACUAAAAAGGAAAGGCAGCCUACAAACCAGACUCGGUUACAUAAUUUAUAUCAAGAGAAAUUGGCCAAAAGAUAAGUAAACUCUUCUGAGAAGCUUGUGUGAGGUUAACCAAAAGUUUUGACCAACUCAUACAGUUUAAAUGCAAUUUUACCAGGUAUUGAGGAAAUGCAUUUAUACUUCUAAAUUUAAAGUGUGUGAAAGGACAAUGUAUUUUACAUAGUAUAUGUACAUGUCUGAACUGUAAAAAAAUAGUAAGGAGAAAAUUUUUGAAAUGGCUUUUUUAAAUUGCGAAAAUUACAAUGUUUUGUAAUGAAUUCAUUCCGCUGUGCAAGAAGAGAUCUGUUCUGGAUAAUUUAGGUUUCUAACUUUUAUUUGAUCAAGUAUGAGACUGAUGUACAUGAACAAAAUGUGAUGUACCAUUAAUCCACUUCAAAAUCUUAUACACAACUGUAUAUAACAGAAACAAUGAGGCAAAGUUUGAUUUUAAUUUUUUUAUUGGUCCAUUCCAGCUGCCACUGAUGAUUUGACAGACCAAAGAGCAUUUUAAAUGUAUUCUGAGCCACAUUUAUUACAUAAAUAGAGAGCAAAUUAGACCAGCGACAAUUAGCAUAAAAAUAUCUUUUAAAACCCUGACAGCACAAAGGUGUGAAAACCCCACACUGACAUUUACAAAACACACUGAUUGUCUGGACCUGUUUUUAGCAGUCCACCACAGAUACCUGACAUCACAUCACCCACUAGACUCAAAUU